rnacentral:lncRNA from 1 species
CUGUUAAUAAUAAAGAUGUAUUUAUUCCUGUUGUUUUGUUCACUGUUUGAUUACAGAUUAGCCAUGUGUUGUUUACGUAAUGCAUCAAUGAUUUUGUAGGGUAUGACUAACAACCUAUUGUUUGAGAAAAGCGAACAUAAACCAAUAUGAACCUGAAAAAAUUUAAAGUCAAUCAAUAUUUUUCACAGCACACAUAACUCAGUGUUAAAAGAGCAUGUACACUUCAUAAUUCUUAUUAUAUUGUGAUGAUUAAAGGAUUAAAAAAAAUAAGUGAAGCUAAUCAACUUUAUAUUAAAAUAACUUCCAACUCAUUAGUGUCAUCUGUUCACCUAUCACUGAUAUUUUUCACACCUUUAGUGAAUACAACUCUUUGUCUCUUAAUUAGGGGUUAUCAAUGGAUUAUAUUGGCU